GUGCUCACUUCGGCAGCACAUAUACUUAAAUUGGAACCAUACAGAAAAGAUUAGCAUGGCCCCUCCUUCACAAGGAUCACAUGCAAAUUCAUGAAGCGUUCCAUAUUUUU